AGAGUGAACGCUGGCGGUAGGCCUAACACAUGCAAGUCGAACGGCAGCACAGUGGUAGCAAUGCCAUGGGUGGCGAGUGGCGGACGGGUGAGGAAUACAUCGGAAUCUACCGUUUUCGUGGGGGAUAACGUAGGGAAACUUACGCUAAUACCGCAUACGCCCUUCGGGGGAAAGCCGGGGAUCGCAAGACCUGGCGCGGAUAGAUGAGCCGAUGUCGGAUUAGCUAGUUGGUGAGGUAAUGGCUCACCAAGGCGACGAUCCGUAGCUGGUCUGAGAGGAUGAUCAGCCACACUGGAACUGAGACACGGUCCAGACCUCCGUACGGAGGCAGCAGUGGGGAAUGUUAGGACAAGUGGGACGAAAGCCUGAUCCAGCCAGUGACCGUCGUGUGUAGAAGAAGGUCUUACGGA
rnacentral:rRNA from 1 species